rnacentral:rRNA from 1 species
AUUGAACGCUGGCGGCAUGCUUUACACAUGCAAGUCGAACGGCAGCGCGGGCUUCGGCCUGGCGGCGAGUGGCGAACGGGUGAGUAAUGCAUCGGAACGUGCCCAGUAGUGGGGGAUAGCCCGGCGAAAGCCGGAUUAAUACCGCAUACGACCUGAGGGUGAAAGCGGGGGACCGAAAGGCCUCGCGCUAUUGGAGCGGCCGAUGUCGGAUUAGCUAGUUGGUGGGGUAAAGGCUUAUCAAGGCGACGAUCCGUAGCUGGUCUGAGAGGACGACCAGCCACACUGGGACUGAGACACGGCCCAGACUCCUACGGGAGGCAGCAGUGGGGAAUUUUGGACAAUGAGGGCAACCCUGAUCCAGCCAUGCCGCGUGCGGGAAGAAGGCCUUCGGGUUGUAAACCGCUUUUGUUCGGGAAGAAAUCCUCUGGGCUAAUACCCCGGGGGGAUGACGGUACCGGAAGAAUAAGCACCGGCUAACUACGUG